UAAAACUCUCAGCUUUACUAUUAAUCAUUACUAUCCAUUGUCUUUUACAUGAGGCAAGCAAAGAAUAGUUUUUCAUAAACAAGACGUAAAGAUAAAUCUAAUGUAAAUAUAAGAUCUCAGUUUUUAAGGUAAAAAUCAAAGUGAAGGGGAAAACCUAAUGAAAUUUACUUUAAAGUUUGUAUGAGCCUAUGUGACCAAGCAAAAUAAAAACAUGCAGGAGUCACCCAAUGUCUCCUCGUUGGUUUGUAUAAUCAAGAAUAUAAUAUUCAGCAUUAAUCCUUGGUAGCUGUAAGAAAAUCAUUCUCUGCAUGACAGGUAUCCCUCAAGUGCUGAUCUUGACACAUAUUGAUGAGUGCUGUCCACUGGUUGAGCAAAACUUGAGAAAAGUCUACUUCAGCAAGAAAAUUAAGGAAAAGAUGUACGAAUGCCGUGACGGAGUGGGAAUCCCGAUGAACUGCAUCUUUCCUGUGAAGAACUACCAUGAAGAGUCAGACACCAAUAAUGACACUGACGUCCUGGUCCUGUUGGCCCUGAGGAAAAUCCUCAACUCUGCUAAUGAUUAUGUGAGAGAGCUGUAACUCUCGCCCCUCUUUCAGCUUGUAGACUGGUCCAAAUAAAAGCUGAACAAUACUAUAUGUUUAGUAAAUCAUGUAACCUUAGAAAUGCUUAGUUGAAUUUGAAAAAUGCGCUCGUCCUGAAAUAUAAAUAAACAUGAUUUCCUGUUAAACCUGUUACAAAUUAAAAUAAAAUAUGCAUGUUUGUCCUCGAUAAAUGUGUGUGUGUGUCUAUGAUCAGUGUUUUGUGUUGUGUUCAAGUGCUGCUGCUUUACUUCCAGGCUCCUGCAAUACCCUCUCCCACCAUCUGCAGGUACGCUCACCUCGCUGGUAUACAGGGCAACACCAGAGGAAACAUUAGCACAUUCGUUUGUGAUUUGUUCUUUCGAUUUUGUGUGUGUGUGUGUGUGUGUGUGUGUGUGUGUGUGUGUGUGACCCUCAGCUUGUUUAUGAUUUUUUAGAUGAGCUUUGGCUUUAAGUCUCUCUUAUUAUUUUUUAAUUAUCAUUUUUCUGCAAGUGUGCGUUUUGUUUUAAACCCUGUUUCUUGGACAUACAGAUGAAAGAUUAAUUUUAAAGAAGGAAAUCAACUUAAAUAUGCUGAAAUAUUUUGUAAACACAGUAUGGUUCAUCAGCCACGUAUUAGUCAUUCAAAAAUACAUGUUUACGUAUGUAUAUUGCAUUUUUGGAGAUUUAUUCCCACAAGCUUCAGAUUAAGCUGGCUCCAACUUAAUCUAACU